rnacentral:rRNA from 1 species
CCUACGGGUGGCAGCAGUCGAGAAUCAUUCACAAUGGGGGAAACCCUGAUGGUGCGACGCCGCGUGGGGGAAUGAAGGUCUUCGGAUUGUAAACCCCUGUCAUGUGGGAGCAAAUUAAAAAGAUAGUACCACAAUAGGAAGAGACGGCUAACUCUGUGCCAGCAGCCGCGGUAAUACAGAGGUCUCAAGCGUUGUUCGGAAUCACUGGGCGUAAAGCGUGCGUAGGCUGUUUCGUAAGUCGUGUGUGAAAGGCGCGGGCUCAACCCGCGGACGGCACAUGAUACUGCGAGACUAGAGUAAGGGAGGGGGAACCGGAAUUCUCGGUGUAGCAGUGAAAUGCGUAGAUAUCGAGAGGAACACUCGUGGCGAAGGCGGGUUCCUGGACAUUAACUGACGCUGAGGCACGAAGGCCAGGGGAGCGAAAGGGAUUAGAUACCCUGGUAGUC